rnacentral:rRNA from 1 species
CCUACGGGAGGCAGCAGUGGGGAAUAUUGCGCAAUGGGCGAAAGCCUGACGCAGCGACGCCGCGUGAGGGAUGAAGGUCCUCGGAUCGUAAACCUCUGUCAGCAGGGAAGAACGGUCACUGUGCUAAUCAGCAGUGAAUUGACGGUACCUGCAAAGGAAGCACCGGCUAACUCCGUGCCAGCAGCCGCGGUAAUACGGAGGGUGCGAGCGUUCAUCGGAAUUACUGGGCGUAAAGCGAUCGUAGGCGGUAUGUCAAGUCAAGGGUGAAAUCCCCGCGCUCAACGUGGGAACUGCCGUUGAAACGGGCAGACUGGAGUGUAGGAGAGGAUAGUGGAAUUCCAGGUGUAGGAGUGAAAUGCGUAGAUAUCUGGAGGAACAUCAGUGGCGAAGGCGACUAUCUGGCACAUAACUGACGCUGAGGAGCGAAAGCGUGGGUAGCAAACAGGAUUAGAUACCCGAGUAGUC